GCCGUAGUAAAUAGACUUUCUGCUUCCUCUAUUCCUGUGGUUUGGCUUCAUUGGCCGCUUUGUCUUGUACUUGUUUUUUAAAUGUUAUUGCUGAUUCACUGUCUCGUUUGCAGUAAGCGAGGUUUCAUCGGGUGGCUCAAGGCGCGCAAGUGAAGGGUUUGUCCAGUCCGGAAGAAGUGUGGCAGCUCGGCGGACUGAUAAGGGAGUCUGUGGUGCCUUCUACUUGGGCACUGUACAGUAAGGUGUGGCAAGAAUGGGAUGACACGUUGAACUAUGCGGGGGGUAAGCUUUCAGCGGAUGCACUGUUGGAC